CUUUUACACUAUCUUCGUAGUCGCCGCUCCUCACCAUUUUUCUUCAUACUCUUCUCUCUAUCUAUCAAAUUCUCCACUUUCCUCUAUAUUAAUAGAAUAAAUUUUCUUUCGGUGACUUACAAGAUUAUGAUUACUACGAAGUAUAAUACGAUCUAAGUGAUAUUUUGUAUUUCUUGUGAUUAUUAUUCAUCUUUUAUAUUAUGCGUGAGAAAUGCUUCAGAUGUAACUCAUAAACAAUGAAGAAAAUGCUCCACACAUCAUAUAUUCAUCAAAGGCAUCUACUGACGGUACAAGGGCUACCUCAAUCUUGGCUAUAAGGAGCACUGAUCUUGUGGAGGUCUUGAUGAAUACGCCUAAUCCUAUCUGGGGUAUGGAAGAUGUCAUUCACCAAUCUCCCCGAAUUCCUCUAAACCAGAGAAGGAACAAGCACAAGGAGAAACCUAAAGGAGAGAAACGAGAUCUUCCAUUUUUAGAAGACUCGCAGAAAAAUCUCAUGAAUCUCAAAAGAUGAAAAUAAGUCGUGUCCUUGUUAUUUAUUAUUUCACAAAGUGUAUUUUAAAUAGUUUCAAAACAAUGUUAAUAUUAAUCUAGCAUUCAAAAUAUAAUGGAGAUAGAUCGAUUCACA